ACAUACUUGGUGGACUAUUCACAACAGGAAAAAAUUGUUUACUAUAACAUUCGUGUCAUAAUACAGCAACUCAACAAAUAAACGUAAGAUCAGAGGUGUUGAGAAUACUGAAUUCAGUCUGUCACGAGACGGUGGUGAUAGCUGUUACUCAAAAGGAAAAAAUGUCACGAAGUUUCUUAUUUAUAAUAUAGCAUAUAUUAUUACGAGUCACUCGUGUUCUACUUAUUUCUAAAGACAAUUCUUUCCUCACUACGUAAUGCUCGACAAGAGAUUCAUUCACUAUUUUGGGACUGCUACAGGGGCAAUGCAUGGAAUUCAAACUAACAGAAAAUAGGAAUAAUUCUUCAAGACAUAUUUUCUUCACCCGCAAGUCCAUUUAUGCGGCAAUCUUCGAGGCUGGUAAGGAUACCUCGAAUUUGUGUGAUCGAACCUGCUCAACGUUGGAACGAAAGAAAAAAUCUUUUAGCCAUGAAUGGGAGAGCAAAAUCGACAAAAGGCAGUUGAAUAAAAACGCGACGGUAACAACACCAAGAGACUCGAGAAUGUGAUAUUUAUAUUCGCAGACUGCAUUGGACUGAGCUCGUGUACAACGAAAAGAGAAAAAACAACAUCGCAGAAAAACGUGUUCUUGAAUUUUUUAAAAACCGUAUCUUGUACGAACUCAAGCAACAGAGAGAGAGAGAGACGGUCACGAUUGAUAAGUUGAACGUGCAGUAAACUAUACACUUCGCAUCUUUUGACGCUCCAAGACGAUUCAUGACACGUGUCAAACAACAAAAUAAAGACUGAUGAGAAUUUAACUAAAUAUACUUUUGCUUGCGGGAUUGAAUGUAUGCAUACCAAACACUAGCUAUACGAAAAUCGUCGAGCACAAGAAACAUUUAAUGAGUCUCAUUAGCGAGCACGAAUUGACUGUUUCCUAAGAAAAACUUAGCCUAUGGAACAAACGUUUUCGUGCGCAUUCUCCCAAAAAAGCCCAAACCAAAUGUGGAGUUGCGUUUCAAUCCUGUGCUCAAAAUGAAGCUACGUAUUAUACAUGGUUUUGUAUUCCAUUGAGUAUCACCAAACAUUCUCUAUAUCAGGACGAUUAGGAUCUUACGUUAAUUCUUCAUGAAACGUUAUAAAUAAAUGUAUCUUCGAUAAA